UGGGGAAUUUUGGACAAUGGGCGAAAGCCUGAUCCAGCAAUGCCGCGUGUGUGAAGAAGGCCUUCGGGUUGUAAAGCACUUUUGUCCGGAAAGAAAUCCUUGGCUCUAAUACAGUCGGGGGAUGACGGUACCGGAAGAAUAAGCACCGGCUAACUACGUGCCAGCAGCCGCGGUAAUACGUAGGGUGCAAGCGUUAAUCGGAAUUACUGGGCGUAAAGCGUGCGCAGGCGGUUUGCUAAGACCGAUGUGAAAUCCCCGGGCUCAACCUGGGAACUGCAUUGGUGACUGGCAGGCUAGAGUAUGGCAGAGGGGGGUAGAAUUCCACGUGUAGCAGUGAAAUGCGUAGAGAUGUGGAGGAAUACCGAUGGCGAAGGCAGCCCCCUGGGGCCAAUACUGACGCUCAUGCACGAAAGCGUGGGGAGCAAACAGGAUUAGAUACCCUGGUAGUCCACGCCCUAAANGAUGUCAACUAGUUGUUGGGGAUUCAUUUCCUUAGUAACGUAGCUAACGCGUGAAGUUGACCGCCUGGGGAGUACGGUCGCAAGAUUAAAACUUAAAGGAA
rnacentral:rRNA from 1 species